AAGAUAUUGCACUUUUGUACCAACAAGUUACUCUCCUGUAAAUUGAAAAAUAGCCACAAAAUACAAAAUGAUGACACCACUAUACUUGUAUGAGAUGAACUGGGCUCUUUAAUUUAGCAGAAAGAUGUGACACAUAGCUUGCUGAUUUGCAUGUCCCUAGGGCGCAGCCAUCUACCCUGCACACUUAUGAGUAUUCUCUUCACACCCUGUGCGGGAGUCAGUUCCAGUCAAGACACAGCAUGGACAUGAGGGCCCCUGCUCAGCUCCUGGGGCUCCUGUAGCUCUGGCUCCCAGGUGCCAGAUGUGCUGUUCAGAUCACCCAGUCGCCAUCCUAGGUGUCUGCAGAUGUAGGAGGCACAGCCACCAUCAAUUGCCAGUCAAGUCAGAGUGUUUACAACAACAAUUAUCUAUACUGGUAUCAGCAGAAACCAGGGCAACCUCCAAAGCUCCUGAUCUAUGAUGCAUCCAAGUUAGCAUCUGGGGUCCCUGACAGGUUCAAGGGCAGUGGAUCUGGGACAUCAUUCACUCUCACCAUCAGCGGGGUGCAGGCUGAGGAUGUAGAAAUCUA